GGUGACAGCCCCGUACACAAAAAUGCACAUAUUGUGAGCUCGAUGAGUAGGGCGGGACACGUGGUAUCCUGUCUGAAUAUGGGGGGCCCAUCCUCCAAGGCUAAAUACUCCUGACUGACCGAUAGUGAACCAGUACCGUGAGGGAAAGGCGAAAAGAACCCCGGCGAGGGGAGUGAAAAAGAACCUGAAACCGUGUACGUACAAGCAGUGGGAGCACGCUUAGGCGUGUGACUGCGUACCUUUUGUAUAAUGGGUCAGCGACUUAUAUUCUGUAGCAAGGUUAACCGAAUAGGGGAGCCGAAGGGAAACCGAGUCUUAACUGGGCGUUAAGUUGCAGGGUAUAGACCCGAAACCCGGUGAUCUAGCCAUGGGCAGGUUGAAGGUUGGGUAACACUAACUGGAGGACCGAACCGACUAAUGUUGAAAAAUUAGCGGAUGACUUGUGGCUGGGGGUGAAAGGCCAAUCAAACCGGGAGAUAGCUGGUUCUCCCCGAAAGCUAUUUAGGUAGCGCCUCGUGAAUUCAUCUCCGGGGGUAGAGCACUGUUUCGGCAAGGGGGUCAUCCCGACUUACCAACCCGAUGCAAACUGCGAAUACCGGAGAAUGUUAUCACGGGAGACACACGGCGGGUGCUAACGUCCGUCGUGAAGAGGGAAACAACCCAGACCGCCAGCUAAGGUCCCAAAGUCAUGGUUAAGUGGGAAACGAUGUGGGAAGGCCCAGACAGCCAGGAUGUUGGCUUAGAAGCAGCCAUCAUUUAAAGAAAGCGUAAUAGCUCACUGGUCGAGUCGGCCUGCGCGGAAGAUGUAACGGGGCUAAACCAUGCACCGAAGCUGCGGCAGCGACGCUUAUGCGUUGUUGGGUAGGGGAGCGUUCUGUAAGCCUGCGAAGGUGUGCUGUGAGGCAUGCUGGAGGUAUCAGAAGUGCGAAUGCUGACAUAAGUAACGAUAAAGCGGGUGAAAAGCCCGCUCGCCGGAAGACCAAGGGUUCCUGUCCAACGUUAAUCGGGGCAGGGUGAGUCGACCCCUAAGGCGAGGCCGAAAGGCGUAGUCGAUGGGAAACAGGUUAAUAUUCCUGUACUUGGUGUUACUGCGAAGGGGGGACGGAGAAGGCUAUGUUGGCCGGGCGACGGUUGUCCCGGUUUAAGCGUGUAGGCUGGUUUUCCAGGCAAAUCCGGAAAAUCAAGGCUGAGGCGUGAUGACGAGGCACUACGGUGCUGAAGCAACAAAUGCCCUGCUUCCAGGAAAAGCCUCUAAGCAUCAGGUAACAUCAAAUCGUACCCCAAACCGACACAGGUGGUCAGGUAGAGAAUACCAAGGCGCUUGAGAGAACUCGGGUGAAGGAACUAGGCAAAAUGGUGCCGUAACUUCGGGAGAAGGCACGCUGAUAUGUAGGUGAAGUCCCUUGCGGAUGGAGCUGAAAUCAGUCGAAGAUACCAGCUGGCUGCAACUGUUUAUUAAAAACACAGCACUGUGCAAACACGAAAGUGGACGUAUACGGUGUGACGCCUGCCCGGUGCCGGAAGGUUAAUUGAUGGGGUCAGCGCAAGCGAAGCUCUUGAUCGAAGCCCCGGUAAACGGCGGCCGUAACUAUAACGGUCCUAAGGUAGCGAAAUUCCUUGUCGGGUAAGUUCCGACCUGCACGAAUGGCGUAAUGAUGGCCAGGCUGUCUCCACCCGAGACUCAGUGAAAUUGAACUCGCUGUGAAGAUGCAGUGUACCCGCGGCAAGACGGAAAGACCCCGUGAACCUUUACUAUAGCUUGACACUGAACAUUGAGCCUUGAUGUGUAGGAUAGGUGGGAGGCUUUGAAGUGUGGACGCCAGUCUGCAUGGAGCCGGCCUUGAAAUACCACCCUUUAAUGUUUGAUGUUCUAACGUGGACCCGUGAUCCGGGUUGCGGACAGUGUCUGGUGGGUAGUUUGACUGGGGCGGUCUCCUCCUAAAGAGUAACGGAGGAGCACGAAGGUUGGCUAAUCCUGGUCGGACAUCAGGAGGUUAGUGCAAUGGCAUAAGCCAGCUUGACUGCGAGCGUGACGGCGCGAGCAGGUGCGAAAGCAGGUCAUAGUGAUCCGGUGGUUCUGAAUGGAAGGGCCAUCGCUCAACGGAUAAAAGGUACUCCGGGGAUAACAGGCUGAUACCGCCCAAGAGUUCAUAUCGACGGCGGUGUUUGGCACCUCGAUGUCGGCUCAUCACAUCCUGGGGCUGAAGUAGGUCCCAAGGGUAUGGCUGUUCGCCAUUUAAAGUGGUACGCGAGCUGGGUUUAGAACGUCGUGAGACAGUUCGGUCCCUAUCUGCCGUGGGCGCUGGAGAACUGAGGGGGGCUGCUCCUAGUACGAGAGGACCGGAGUGGACGCAUCACUGGUGUUCGGGUUGUCAUGCCAAUGGCACUGCCCGGUAGCUAAAUGCGGAAGAGAUAAGUGCUGAAAGCAUCUAAGCACGAAACUUGCCCCGAGAUGAGUUCUCCCUGACCCUUUAAGGGUCCUGAAGGAACGUUGAAGACGACGACGUUGAUAGGCCGGGUGUGUAAGCGCAGCGAUGCGUUGAGCUAACCGGUACUAAUGAACCGUGAGGCUUAACCUU
rnacentral:rRNA from 1 species